rnacentral:tRNA from 1 species
GGAACCGUGCCUGAGUACCCAAGGACCACUUUGAUAGAGUGGCUAACGGGGGUUAAAAUCCCCCCGGUUCCUA